CUAGUAGGCGGCCUGGUAAGUCAGAUGUGAAAGCCCGGGGCUUAACCCCGGAAGUGCAUUUGAUACUGUCAGGCUUGAGUAUGGGAGAGGGAAGUGGAAUUCCUGGUGUAGAGGUGAAAUUCGUAGAUAUCAGGAGGAACACCGGUGGCGAAGGCGACUUCCUGGACCAAUACUGACGCUGAGGCGCGAAGGCGUGGGGAGCAAACAGGAUUAGAUACCCUGGUAGUCC
rnacentral:rRNA from 1 species